rnacentral:rRNA from 1 species
UCGAGCGGUAAGGCCCUUCGGGGUACACGAGCGGCGAACGGGUGAGUAACACGUGGGUGAUCUGCCUCGCACUUCGGGAUAAGCCUGGGAAACUGGGUCUAAUACCGGAUAUGACCUUUCAGUGCAUGCUGUUGGGUGGAAAGAUUUAUCGGUGCGAGAUGGGCCCGCGGCCUAUCAGCUUGUUGGCGGGGUAACGGCCCACCAAGGCGACGACGGGUAGCCGACCUGAGAGGGUGACCGGCCACACUGGGACUGAGACACGGCCCAGACUCCUACGGGAGGCAGCAGUGGGGAAUAUUGCACAAUGGGCGGAAGCCUGAUGCAGCGACGCCGCGUGAGGGAUGACGGCCUUCGGGUUGUAAACCUCUUUCGACAGGGACGAAGCGCAAGUGACGGUACCUGUAGAAGAAGCACCGGCCAACUACGUGCCAGCAGCCGCGGUAAUACGUAGGGUGCGAGCGUUGUCCGGAAUUACUGGGCGUAAAGAGCUUGUAGGCGGUUUGUCGCGUCGUCCGUGAAAACUUGGGGCUCAACCCCAAGCUUGCGGGCGAUACGGGCAGACUUGAGUACUUCAGGGGAGACUGGAAUUCCUGGUGUAGCGGUGAAAUGCGCAGAUAUCAGGAGGAACACCGGUGGCGAAGGCGGGUCUCUGGGAAGUAACUGACGCUGAGAAGCGAAAGCGUGGGUAGCGAACAGGAUUAGAUACCCUGGUAGUCCACGCCGUAAACGGUGGGUACUAGGUGUGGGUUUCCUUCCACGGGAUCCGUGCCGUAGCUAACG